AUACGUAGGUGACAAGCGUUAUCCGGAUUUACUGGGCGUAAAGGGCGUGUAGGCGGUCUUGCAAGUCAGAAGUGAAAUUCCUGAGCUCAACUCGGGCGCUGCUUCUGAAACUGCAGGACUUGAGUGCUGGAGGGGGUAGCGGAAUUCCUAGUGGAGCGGUAAAAUGCGCAGAUAUUAGGAAGAACACCGGUGGCGAAGGCGGCUAUCUGGACAGUAACUGACGCUGAGGCGCGAAAGCGUGGGGAGCAAACAGGAUUAGAUCCCCUGGUAGUCCACGCCGUAAACGAUGAAUACUAGGUGUAGGGGGUAUCGACUCCCUCUGUGCCGCAGUUAACACAAUAAGUAUUCCGCCUGGGGAGUACGGCCGCAAGGUUGAAACUCAAAUGAAUUGGCGGGG
rnacentral:rRNA from 1 species